GCCAGAUCCGGCCACAUGUCCUCCACAAGGCCUCCCUAGAGUCCAGCCUCAGCCAGGGCAGCAGUCUGCUUUCUCAGGACCAUGAUGGCUCCCCACAGGACACACUGCCAGCUCCCCAUCAAUGUGUCUGACCCCCACGCGGCGCCGCCUGCCUUCCGCUGCCUGAACGGUACCGUGCCUGAGCGCAGCUGGUCUAUAGCACAGACCUGGGAGGGGACAGCACCCGGCCUCAGGGGAAGGCGUCCUCCAUCGCCCAGGCGGGUCCUGCAGACAGCAGCCUCUGGUGCCCAGGCUGAGGACUACAGCACAUGCCUGCAAUCCCAGUGACUCAGGAGGCUGAAGCAGGAGGAUCACAAGUUGGAGGUCAGUCUCAGCAACGUCAUGAGACCCUGUUUGAACCACGUACAGCCAGAGGAAUGAGAAGUUGUGCUCCAUUUAUGUACUAUACGCCAAAAUGCAUUCUACUAUAAAAUUAAUUAAUUAAAAAAUAAAAUAAAAAUGGGGUUGGGGUUGUAGCUCAGUAGAGAGCGCUUGCUGAGCAUGUGUGAGGCACUGGGUUCGACUCUCAGCACCACAUAUAAAUACAUAAAUUAAAUAAAGGUCCAUUAACAACUAAAAAUAAGUAAAUAAAAAUAAAAACUUCUAGGGGUGGA